GGUAACACAGGGCCAACAGCAGCGGUACUACAGGUUGGGCUGGCUGUAAUAGUACUUACUGGGCAUAAAGCGCGCGUAGGUGGGUCAGUAAGAUGUGUGUGCAAUCCCCGGGCUUAACCUGGGAACUUCUUUCAUAACUGCUGAGCUAGAGUACGGUAGAGGGUAGUGGAAUUUCCUGUGUAGCGGUGAAAUGCGUAGAUAUAGGAAGGAACACCAGUGGCGAAGGCGACUACCUGGACUGAUACUGACACUGAGGUGCGAAAGCGUGGGGAGCAAACAGGAUUAGAUACCCUGUUAGUA
rnacentral:rRNA from 1 species